UACGGAGGAUCCAAGCGUUAUUCGGAAUUAUUGGGCGUAAAGGGCGCGUAGGCGGCUUUGCAAGUGAUGGGUGAAAUCCCACGGCUUAACCGUGGAACUGCCUGUCAGACUGCAUGGCUUGAGACCAGGAGAGGUGAGUGGAAUUCCCAGUGUAGCGGUGAAAUGCGUAGAUAUUGGGAGGAACACCAGUGGCGAAGGCGGCUCACUGGACUGGUACUGACGCUGAGGCGCGAAAGCGUGGGGAGCAAACAGG
rnacentral:rRNA from 1 species